rnacentral:lncRNA from 7 species
AGUCAAGGAGACCGUGCCUACGCUUUUCUUCUCCCUCCAUUCAUUCACACACCACACCUCCCGAACUCCGAACUACAAGUUUCGCUUCUCGUCGCGACGACUGGGCGAGACCGCCGCCGCCGCCGCCGCCUGAGGUAUUGCCACCCCUUCUUUCCCCUCCCUUCCUUUCAUGCUGUGCGAAGCUGAGCAUCGGAACCCUGACCUAAAGCUAUUUAGCGGCGUCGCUCCUCUGCGGGGCGACACGUGCGGAACCAGCGCCGCCGCCGCAAGAGUUGGCCCGCCUCGUUCUUUACAAUAUCGCCUUCGCCUGAGCACGCGGCCGGAGGCCCGCGUCGGUGCGAGGAUGGCGGCGGCGAGGUCUCUCAGCUUUUCUCGCCCGUUCUCUUAAGCGUACUUGCCUCGUGCCUGCGCCAGCUAGGACGGUUCCCUGGAGAAGCUGACAUCGUCGUCGCUGUCGCUGGCGGGGAGGUUGUCUGGCCGGACGGGGGCCCCGCGGCGGCGCCGGCCUCGAUCUGGUGCGCUAUGGCCGGAUCCGUGGUGUGUUGUGGUGUGGGUGGAGAUUCAUUUGUGGGGGCACGGAUCCGCCGCGCUCCAUGAGUCCGGAUCUGCACUCCUUCGAGAGUUUUUUGCAGAAAAAUAUUGGGUGUACAUCCAUGUCCCUUUUACUGGAUCCGAACCCUGAGUGUGAUGUCAGAAACUGUUGUCUUUGUGUUGUCUUUGUGUGAACUUCUCUGUAUAAAUUGAAUUUACUGCUUUCAGUU